GUGAAUCAAGGAAAGAGUUAAUGAGUCUGUGAAGUUAAUUUUGGUUAGGGUUUCGUGAUGAUUGAAGAAAGAGGAAUCAGUAAAAUUAGGAUUAGGGUUCUAGAAUGGAUUGAAAAUUUUAUAUCAAAUUGAGAAUGAAAUCAAGUAAUGAUGGGUAUUGGGUGUUAAGUUUAAGGUUGAAUUUUUAGUUAUUGAUUUUCAAUUUAAUUCACAUUGAAGAAUCAGUGAGUUAGGGUUCCAACAUGAACUGGAAAUUUGAUUGGUGAUGAAUACGAUGAAAUUGAAAGAUGAUUUUGUUAAAUUGAGGUUUAGAUUCGUAUAAUAAUUGGAUGAACUCCAUCGAUUAGGGUUCUUAAUAGAAAAGAGAAUUCAUGGUUCACGGGUUUGAAACUUAGUUGAAAAAAAAAAGAAAAUUGACGGUUUAGGGAUAUGAUGGAAUCAAGUUGAAGAUUAAGCAAAGGGUGAAUCAUUUGUUUCAAUUUGGAAUUAAUCUGAGAACCUGUUAUAUGGAUAUUAGGUUACUAGUUUGAGAUGAAGUGUAUGUGAGUUGGAUUAGUAAUAUGAUGGGAUGAAGAUGGGUUUGCGUUUUUGUUGUUGUUGAUUAGCUCAAGAAUAUGGAGGUAAGGCUUUCACGGUUUCUGGUGAUACAGUCGUUUUCUCGAAUUACGCGGAUCAAAGACUCUACAAGCAGAUAAUUGGAGAUUCCUUUGCCAUACCAAUUACUCCAGAUUAUGGUGGACCUGUAGUUCAUUAUGCAGAUGGAGUAUUUGAUUUAGGAUCUCAAAGUUAUGUCACAGUAAGGGAAGAUACCCGUGACAGUAGCAUAAAUCCCACCACGACAAUUGUAUCCAUCACCUUUAAUGGCGAAACUAACCAAGGU